GCAAAUUAGAGACUCAGAUAUUUUGCAAAUAAAAAUGAAAUUACACCUUGAACCAGGAUGAAAUUACAAUGUAAAGAAGACAUCUUGUAUACCCAUUCCUCUCACCCCACCACCACAUGUCAACUAAGUACACAGGACCUUGCUGAGUAAUUCAUAAGGAUAAAAAACAAUCUCGCCUACCUUCCUAUUUGGUGCUUCUUAUUUCAUUUACUGAUAGCACUGCUUUGUAAUGUUUAUGUCAUAAUGGCAGCCUUCUGAGGGCUAUGUUCUACCCUGAUGUCAUCCAUCACUGCCAAUUACAAAUACUAUGGAUAUAGCAUUACCAAGAAGGAUGUUGCUUCAGAAUGUCUCCUAUGGCCCCAAGAAUCCCAAGUUGCAGAUUCUUUCUGGUCACAACCGACUCAGAAAUCAUCUUUUAGUUUUGCCAGUGUUCAUCCUAAGUCCCUCAGAGCCAAUGAUCCAUUACAAUGUAGAUCACACUUUGACUUCAAACAUUUGGCUGAUGAAUAUGUUGGCAUCAAAACAAGAAAGAAGAGACAUUCAGCUUUCGACAAACUGAAUUAUCAUCAAAGAAAGAAGUGGAAAUUUCUUUAUUAAUUAGGAAUAGAACCAUCUUCACUGAUUUUGGGGCAUGUAAUCAUUCAGCAACAUAUUAAGGGCUAAGACUAGCAAACCAGGAAUGUAUUGUGUUACACUUAAUUAUGUCAUCAGAAUUUUUUUAAAGGCAGUGAAACUCCAACAAAGUAAAUGAAAUUAAGCACAGUCAUUCAAAACUAAGAUCAACUCUGGAAGUGCAGCUUCUUUAUUCCUAUCUCACCUCACAAAGGAUUUUUAAAACACUAAGCACUUAGAUAUGCUAUAAGUUCAGCAACUUGCACUAUGUCUUACACCCAGCAGGUAUUCAAUAAAUGUGUGAGGGAGGGAGGGAGAGAGGGAGGGAGGGAGAGAGGGAGGGAGGGAGGGAGGGAAAAAAGGAAGGAAGAAAGAAGGAAGGAAAGAAGGAAGGAAGGAAGGAAGGAAGGAAGGAAGGAAGGAAGGAAGGAAGGAAGGAAGGAAGGAAGGAAGGAAAGAGGGAAGGAAGAAAGGAGGGGAGGAGGGAGGGAGGGAAGGAAGAAGGGAGGGAGGGGAGGGGAGGGGAGGCAGGAAGGUUGGUUGUAAUCUUCAUGAUCUAAAAAUUAUAAAUAUAUACAUUCUUCAAAUGAAGAAAUGGAGACACAAUGAGAUAAAAUAGCUUGUCUUAUAUAACCCAGCAAGGAAUUGUUGAUAUUUGGCUUUGAAGUAGAAUGACCUGACUAUUAAGGUCACUUGAUUCAUCUCUACAAUGUACUGUAACAUAAAGUUAGUUAAGUAUAUGAUGAUUAUUAAGAUUUAGGGAGCAACAUGGAAUACUGGUUAAAAACUCACUCAGGCCCCAUUGAGAAGACUUAGGUCAAGCACCAC
rnacentral:lncRNA from 1 species